ACAGCAGCUGCCCCUGCAAAUGUCAGCGCCAGCCCAGUCAAAAGAGCUUGAAACCUACCAAGCCGGAGGACUGUGCUGUGCCUCUCUCGCCCACAUUUUCCCCAAGCACUCUCAGGAACCUGGCAACAGACUGAGAGAAAGGAAUGAAAGGAUGGAAGAAUUACAAGAUCAGGCACUGCUGUCUGUCUGUUCCACGGAUGUAACCACAGCACACGCGUGGCUCACGGUACUAGUGUGAUAAAUGCUUGUUACAUGAAGGCGUGAACAGGGAUGAGAAGAGACUUCCUGGAGAAACAAAAGGACUAACAAUCAGGAAGGGGAGGUGAUCGGGGCAGGAGUAAAGUGGACACCUCAGCAAAGCCAUUCGCUGUGAUCUCUGAUUGUGCAGUGUCAUGUCCUGUCACCAGAGCCCCCUCGUGUUUGAUGUUGGCCAAUGCCGCCAGCAUGAUCUAGCAGGCCAAAUCCUAAUCUACCAUUCUCUGACACCAGCUGGUCCCCUGGGUCGUCCACCCGAUGUCCCCCAUUCUCCCCACUUGGCCUCCCCCACAGGCUCUCGGCAAAGGACCGUGGGAGGCACCUGUGACACUGCCCUUUUCCUGUGCAGCUGUUUUUCUUCUUCAUUCUUUUCACUCCUCGUUACUCUUUUUUUUUUCACUCUCAGCCCACACAAAACUAGGAACUUUGUUAUUCUACUUAUUUUUCUGUACUCUGUCUGUUUGCACACAGAUGGAUAUCUGAGAGCCAGCGAACUUUCUUUACCUCCUAGUAUCAUUUCAUGAAAAUUAGUAGCACCUGCACAAUGGGGCCUUGGAGACAGGAAUAAAAGGAAAAAUCUGGAAUGGAAUCACAUGACGCAACAGGCUAUGAAGACUCCCUGCCCGGCUGCUAUAUGUCUGGCUUGCUGGACUUUGGAGAAAAGGCUGACCCUCCCCCAAAGCAGCCCAUUGCUGCCACUGCCCUAGGAACAGAGGGCCUGGAGCCAGGGCUUGACCUGGUACAGGAGCUUUUGCACAAGGCCGGCUCAAACCUCCAAACCUGGGGAAACAGGAUGCAUGGUGAAGUGAAGAAGAAAGAAAAUGCAUCCACCGUUCCUUCCUGUUGGUGUCAGCACGAUGAGGAAUAAUUACCUGGAUCUGGAAAGCAGGCGUGUGGGAGGCUGCAGGCCCCCCUGAUCUGUGUAGUUAGGCACUUAAUUUUUCAUCCUCCUCCUUCUCUCUGCCCUCCCGAAACCGCCGUUUUCAAAGGAAAAACAGAAAAACGUAUCUGGGUAACCCGUGUAAUACUGUUUACAUCAGCCCACUUGGCCCAGAAAGGAUACCAGCUCCUUACUGAUGCUCAGAUAACAGGGUUAGUGCUUAAAAAAAUUAUGCCUUGGGCCGGGUGCGGUGGCUCACGCCUAUAAUCCCAGCACUUUGGGAGGCUGAGGUGGGUGGAUCACAAGGUCAAGAGAUCAAGACCAUCCUGGCCAACCAACAUAGUGAACCUGUCUCUACUAAAAAUACAAAAAGUAGCUGGGCGUAGUGGCGCAUGCCUGUAGUCCCAGCUGCUCGGGAGGCUGAGGCAGGAGAGUCGUUUAGGCCUGGCAGGCGGAGGUUGCAGUGAGCUGAGAUUGCGCCACACUGCACUCCAGCCCAGGCGGUGGAGUGAGUCUCCAUCUCAAAAAAAAAAAUUCUGUCUCAUUCAUUAUCCAACUUUGUCACUGAUAGAGAAGGACAUAGAUCCAGAGAAGAACUUGUCCAGGUGACCCCAGGGCUCUUUCCCCCUCCAUUACUUUUUUUUUUUUUUUUUUUUGAGCCAGAGUCUGGCUCUGUCACCCAGGCUGGAGUGCAGUGUCACAAUCUUGGCUCACUGCAUCCUCUGCCUCCUGGGUUCAAGCUAUUCUCCUGACUCAGCCUCCCUAGUAGCUGGGAUUACAGGUGCAUGCCACCCCGCCCAGCUAAUUUUUGUAUUUUUAGUAGAGAUGAGGUUUUAACUUGUUAGCCAGGCUGGUCUUGAACUCCUGACGUCAAGCGAUCUGCCUGCCUUGGCCUCCCAAAGUGCUGGGAUUAAGGGCGUGAGCCACCGCGCCCGGUCCCCUCCAUUACUCCUUAAGUGUCCCUUAAAGACUGUAUUUAUUUAUUUGAAACAGAGUCUUGCUCUGUCACCCAGGCUGUUGUGCAGUGGCAUGAUCUUGGCUCACUGCAACCUUCUGCCUCAGCCUCCUGAGUACCUGAGACUACAGGCGGGCGCCACCACACCCGGCUAAUGUUUGUCUUUUUGGUAGAGAUGGGGGUUUCACCAUGUUGGCCAGGCUGGUCUCGAACUCCUGAUCUCAAGUGAUCUGCCCCCUUCAGCCUCCCAAAGUGCUGGGAUUACAGGCGUGAGCCACUGCGCCCAGCAAAGACUGUGUUUAAAAUACUACCUUUCUGUUAGGUACUUGUCAUUUGCCAAAAUUAAAUAAAAACAGUCUAGGAACCUAGGAACCUGUGAAGUCAGUACUAAAAUCUAUACCAAUUUACUCCACAAACCCCCAUCCUCCUCCUCGUUGGUUGAGUGUUUAAUAAAGCCAGGCGCUUUACCUAUAGUCUCAUUAAAUUAAAAACAAUCCUGCAUAGGAAGUCAGGAUCUCAAUUUUGCAGAUGAAAAGGAGGCUUAUCUGGGCAUGCCCAGCAAGGUCUGGGGAACGCCCCUUAAUGGAGUACUUGAAUUUGUCUGCAGGGAGAGGUGGCAUCACCGCACUGUAAAUAGUUUCCGAGGUCAAGUUUGGCUAGUGGCUUUUAGAAUUGGGGCAGAAGGAUGCCAUCCUACUCCCACCUUCAGAGGCAUCUCAGGUUCUGGAGCUCUGUGCUAACUAAGCCCACCUGUGGAGGGUGGCAAUGGAGUGGUGACAGGCGUGCAAGGUUUCACGUCUUUAAAGAAAAGACAGCUCCAAGGACAGAGAGUUUUUUGUUGUUUGUUUUGUUUUUUGAGACAGUCUCACUCUGUUGUCAGGCUAGAGUGUAGUGGCGCGAUCUCGGCUCACUGCAACCUCCACCUCCCGGGUUCAAGCGAUUCCCCUGCCUCAGCCUCCCGAGUAGCUGGGACUACAGGAGGCGCCACCACGCCCGGCUAAUUUUGGUAUUUUUAGUAGAGAUGUAGUUUCACCAUGUGGGCCAGGAUGGUCUCGAUCUCUUGACCUUGUGAUCCGCCCACCUCGGCCUCCCAAAAUGUUGGGAUUACAGGCGUGAGCCACCAUUCCCAGCCAAUUUUUUUUUUUUUUUUAAAGAGACAGGGUCUCGCUCUGUUGCCAGGGCUGGAGUGCAGUGGUGUGAUCAUGGCUCACUACAUCCUCUAACUCCUGGGCUCAAGCGAACCUCCCACUUUAGCCUCCGGAACAGCUGGAACCACAAGCGCACACCACCACAUCCAGCUAAGUUUUAAAAAACUGUUUGUAAAGACAGGGUCUCACUAUGUUGCCCAGGGUCAAGGUCAGAUUUGUUAAUCCUUCUGACAUUGUCUCCUGUUGGAGUUCUGGAUGUUCAUUAGUUCAUCACCAUGCAUGUGAUUCACACACUGUACUCAGAAACAUUCUUUUUUCUUGUUUUUGUUUUUUUAUGAGACGGAGUUUCUCUCUUGUCACCCAGGCUGGAGUGCAAUGGCACGCACGAUCUCGGCUCACUGCAACCUCCACCUCCCCGGUUCAAGCAAUUCUCCUGCCUCAGCCUCCCGAGUAGUGCCACCACUCCCAGCUUAUUUUUGUAUUAGUAGAGACGGGGUUUCACCAUGUUGGCCAGGCUGGUCUCGAACCCCGGACCUCAGGUGAUCCACCUGCCUCGGCCUCCCAAAGUGCUGGGAUUACAGGCAUGAGCCACCGUGCCUGGCCAGAAACAUUCUUUUUAUUCGUUUUUAUUAUAAUUGUAGUAAGGGCCCUGGUAGGGGAUUUGAACUGUUUCUUUCCACAGUGUGGAAUGAUGUCUAUAUACAUUACAGAAUGGAGAUAUAGAUAUCUAUAGAGAUCUAUAGAUAUCUAUAGAGAUCUAUAUAGAUAUCUAUAGCUAUAUAGAUAUAGAGAUAUAGAUAU
rnacentral:lncRNA from 1 species